AGUGGCGGACGGGUGAGUAACGCGUGAGAAUCUGCCUUGGGGUCGGGGACAACCACUGGAAACGGUGGCUAAUACCGGAUAAGCCGAUUGGUGAAAGAUUUAUUGCCCGAAGAGGAGCUCGCGUCUGAUUAGCUAGUUGGUGAGGUAAGAGCUCACCAAGGCAGCGAUCAGUAGCUGGUCUGAGAGGACGAUCAGCCACACUGGGACUGAGACACGGCCCAGACUCCUACGGGAGGCAGCAGUGGGGAAUUUUCCGCAAUGGGCGAAAGCCUGACGGAGCAAGACCGCGUGAGGGAGGAAGGCUCUUGGGUUGUAAACCUCUUUUCUCAGGGAAGAAGCUCUGACGGUACCUGAGGAAUCAGCCUCGGCUAACUCCGUGCCAGCAGCCGCGGUAAUACGGAGGAGGCAAGCGUUAUCCGGAAUUAUUGGGCGUAAAGCGUCCGCAGGUGGCGAUUCAAGUCUGCUGUCAAAGCACGGGGCUUAACUCCGUAAAGGCAGUGGAAACUGAAUAGCUAGAGUGCCGUAGGGGUAGAGGGAAUUCCCGGUUUAGCGGUGAAAUGCGUAGAGAUCGGGAAGAACAUCGGUGGCGAAAGCGCUCUACUGGACGGCAACUGACACUCAGGGACGAAAGCUAGGGGAGCGAAUGGGAUUAGAUACCCC
rnacentral:rRNA from 1 species